GUUCAAGGAUGUACAAAAAUAUUUGCUACUCUUGAUAAUCAAUGACGACACUUAAAUCACCAAGAUCGCUGAGAAC
rnacentral:snoRNA from 1 species